CAAGCAGGGGGAAUGGGAGAGGGAGAAGCAGGCUUCUCGCCGAGCAGGGAGCCCGAUGUGGGACUCGAUCCCAGGACCCUGGGAUCAUGACCUGAGCCGAAGGCAGAAGCUUAACGACUGAGCCACCCAGGCGCCCUGUUAAAUGCAUCUUCAAAAGACAUCCCAGAUUGGGCACUGGAGAAGCCAACCUGGAAAUGCCGACAAGCACAGACCCAAAAAGCUCCAAUAAAUGGGAAAAUAAGAAGGUAUUCAGGCCGCUGUAUGAAGAAUGCAUUAGUUUAGAAGUAAGACCAAUGGAGAAGAUACCGCACUAGUUCAGGGUGAAUCCUUUUACGGCCCAUGCCACCAGCUUCCAAACACGACCGUCAACCCACAUUUGGGGCCCCCCAUCUGAUCGAGAGAGACACCACAGAAGAGUAAAUUGUACAUUAUUAAAAACUGAUGAAUACUUGUUGGAUGACAGCCUAAAGGUGUCUAAUAUUAAUGAAUGUGUAAGUCACUCGUAUUAAUAAGUAAGGUAUAUUGUGCCAAGUUCUAGGACAGAGGUGUGUGCUGGGUAAUAGAGAGCCCAAAGAAGGGGCAUCUCACUCACUUUGGGGGCAGAAAAAAUUUUGCAAAGGAAAAGGUGGCUGAGUCGGGUCUGAAUUAUAAGUGGGAUGUACCUGUGGGGCAGAGCAACAUAAACAGUGCUGAUUCCAAGCACCUGUGAGGCUAGGGCAA